rnacentral:rRNA from 1 species
ACUGAACGCUGGCGGCAGGCCUAACACAUGCAAGUCGAGCGAGCGGCGGACGGGUGAGUAAUGCAUGGGGACAGCCCGAUAGAGGGGGAUAAAUAUUGGAAACGGGGGCUAAUAACGCAAACAAUCGGAUUACCCAUAUGGGAUUAGCUUGUAGGUGGGGUAAAGGAUCACCUAGGAGAAGAUCUCUAGCUGGUCUGAGAGGAUGUUCAGCCACACUGGUACUGGGAAACGGCCCAGACUCCUACGGAGGCAGCAGGGGGGAAUAUUGCAGAAUGGGCGAAAGCCUGAUGCAGCGAUGCCGCGUGUAUGAAGAAGGCCUUAGGGUUGUAAAGUACUUUCAGCGAGGAGGCGUUACCCGCAGAGUAAGCACCGGCUAACUCCGUGCAAGCGGCCGCGGUAAUUC